rnacentral:ncRNA from 1 species
AUAAUGAUACUUCCGUUCAGACCGAAAGGUAACGGCUUCUCCAUAAGAAUGGGUUGAGGUGAGAGUCCUAUGA